UGCUGGAUAGCUCAGUUGGUAGAGCAUGAGACUUGUAAUCUCAGGGUUGUGAGUUUGAGGCCCACAUGGGGCAG